AACGAACGCUGGCGGUAUGCCUAACACAUGCAAGUCGAACGAGACCUCCGUGUGUGGUUGCUCACGGGGGCGUAACGCGUGGGAACCUUCCCGUAGGCUCGGAAUAACUCCCCGUAGGGGGUGCUAAUGCCGGAUAAUUUCUGCUGAUCAAAGAUUUAUCGCCCUUGGGGGCGCCCGCGUUGUUUUAACUAGUUGGUAUGGUAAAAGCCUACCAAGGCGAGGAUCCAUAGCGGGUCUGAGAGGAUGGUCAGCCACUCUCGGACUGAGACACGGGCCAGACUACUACGGGAGGCAGGCGUGGCGAAUACUGCCCAAUCGGCGAAAGGAUGAUGCAGCAAUGCCGCGUGAGUGCUUAAGGCCUUAGGGUUGUACAGCUCUUUUAUCCGCGAUGAUACUGACAGUACCGGAAGAAUAAGCUCCGGCUAACUCCGUG
rnacentral:rRNA from 1 species